rnacentral:misc_RNA from 1 species
CCUCUCCACCCCGUUCCCCGCCGGCGAUCCGCCGCCCCUCUCCUCCGCGCCGCUCAACCUCACGCCGCCAGCGAGCAAGAAAUGGCUGGACAUAGGAUUGCACACAUCACCCCGAAGGGGCCAAAUCUGGUGAAGGAGAUCUUCAUGGGCAUCACGCUGGGCCUAGCUGCUGGGGGUUUGUGGAAGAUGCAUCAUUGGAACGAGCAGAGGAAGACUAAGGCCUUCUACGAUAUGCUCGAAAGGGGUCAGAUCAGUGUCAUCGCCGCAGAAGAAUAGGAACUUUGUUCUGCUCUAUUGUUUUGAAUAAGCUGUGGACUCUGAGGAACAUUCCCUUAGAUUUGUCACCGAUAAUUCGGGUUUAUGCAUGUGAUCUGAUUUGAGUUUCAAAAUCAGGCUGAUACAUUUGAUUUUUGUGAAAGGUUAUGUAUGUCACAAAACUGUGUGUUUUGUGAUCAUUGUUCAUUGAAGUCGGAUUUGGAUUUGUAGUUAGGAAG